rnacentral:tRNA from 1 species
CCAGGUGUGGCUCAGUUGGUAGAGCGCGUGGUUUGGGACCAUGAGGCCGCAGGUUCGACUCCUGUCACUUGGACCA